ACGGCCUAAAGCGUGGUUAAACAAUAUUAAAAUAUAUAGAAAUAAAAAUUAACUCAACUGUCGCACGUAUUUGUUAAACGUAAAACCAAAAACGAAAGAUAUUCUAAUAAACAAAUUACUUGAACCCACGAAAGCUAAGAAACAAACUAGGAUUAGAUACCCUAUUAUGCUUAGCCUUAAACUUUGGAACACCCGCCUGAGUACUACGAGCCACAGCUUAAAACUCAAAGGACUUGGCGGUGCUCUACACCCCCCUAGAGGAGCCUGUUCUAUAAUUGAUAAUCCCCGCUAAACCUCACCACUUAUUGCCAACCCCGCCUAUAUACCGCCGUCGUCAGCUCACCAUUUAAAUGAAUAAUAGUAAGCAUAAUGAUAAACAUAAAAACGUCAGGUCAAGGUGUAGCGAAUUAAGUGGAAAGAAAUGGGCUACAUUUUCUAUACAGAAAAUACGAAUAAUCUUAUGAAAAAAUAUUUAAAGGUGGAUUUAGCAGUAAAAAGAAAACAGAGUGUUCUUUUUAAAUAGGCCCUAGAGCGCGCACACACCGCCCGUCACCCUCCUCAAAAUAUUUAUAAAAAUAUAUAAUUCUAAAAACAUAAAAGAAGAGGUAAGUCGUAACAUGGUAAGUUUACCGGAAGGUGUACUUGGAAUAU
rnacentral:rRNA from 1 species